AGCAGUAGCCGCGGGAAUACGUAGGUCCCGAGCGUUGUCCGGAUUUAUUGGGCGUAAAGCGAGCGCAGGCGGUUAGAUAAGUCUGAAGUUAAAGGCUGUGGCUUAACCAUAGUACGCUUUGGAAACUGUUUAACUUGAGUGCAAGAGGGGAGAGUGGAAUUCCAUGUGUAGCGGUGAAAUGCGUAGAUAUAUGGAGGAACACCGGUGGCGAAAGCGACUCUCUGGCUUGUAACUGACGCUGAGGCUCGAAAGCGUGGGGAGCAAACAGGAUUAGAUACCCCAGUAGUCCCUGUCUCUUAUACA
rnacentral:rRNA from 1 species